rnacentral:rRNA from 1 species
AUCCCGUCCACCGAUUGACUAAGGUUUCCAGAGGAAGGCUCGUCCGCUCUGGGUUAGUCGGGUCCUAAGCUGAGGCCGACAGGCGUAGGCGAUGGAUAACAGGUUGAUAUUCCUGUACCACCUAGUAUCGUUUUAAUCGAUGGGGGGACGCAGUAGGAUAGGCGAAGCGUGCUGUUGGAGUGCACGUCCAAGCAGUAAGGCUGAGUGUUAGGCAAAUCCGGCACUCGUUAGGCUGAGCUGUGAUGGGGAGAGGAAAUUGUUUCCUUGAGUCGUUGAUUUCACACUGCCGAGAAAAGCCUCUAGAUAGAUAACAGGUGCCCGUACCGCAAACCGACACAGGUAGUCAAGAUGAGAAUUCUAAGGUGAGCGAGCGAACUCUCGUUAAGGAACUCGGCAAAAUGACCCCGUAACUUCGGGAGAAGGGGUGCUCUUUAGGGUUCACGCCCAGAAGAGCCGCAGUGAAUAGGCCCAAGCGACUGUUUAUCAAAAACACAGGUCUCUGCUAAACCGUAAGGUGAUGUAUAGGGGCUGACGCCUGCCCGGUGCUGGAAGGUUAAGAGGAGUGGUUAGCUUCUGCGAAGCCACGAAUCGAAGCCCCAGUAAACGGCGGCCGUAACUAUAACGGUCCUAAGGUAGCGAAAUUCCUUGUCGGGUAAGUUCCGACCCGCACGAAAGGCGUAACGAUUUGGGCACUGUCUCAACGAGAGACUCGGUGAAAUCAUAGUACCUGUGAAGAUGCAGGUUACCCGCGACAGGACGGAAAGACCCCGUGGAGCUUUACUGUAGCCUGAUAUUGAAAUUCGGCACAGCUUGUACAGGAUAGGUAGGAGCCAUUGAAACGUGAGCGCUAGCUUACGUGGAGGCGUUGGUGGGAUACUACCCUAGCUGUGUUGGCUUUCUAACCCGCACCACUUAUCGUGGUGGGAGACAGUGUCAGGCGGGCAGUUUGACUGGGGCGGUCGCCUCCUAAAAGGUAACGGAGGCGCUCAAAGGUUCCCUCAGAAUGGUUGGAAAUCAUUCACAGAGUGUAAAGGCAUAAGGGAGCUUGACUGCGAGACCUACAAGUCGAGCAGGGUCGAAAGACGGACUUAGUGAUCCGGUGGUUCCGCAUGGAAGGGCCAUCGCUCAACGGAUAAAAGCUACCCCGGGGAUAACAGGCUUAUCUCCCCCAAGAGUUCACAUCGACGGGGAGGUUUGGCACCUCGAUGUCGGCUCAUCGCAUCC